rnacentral:tRNA from 1 species
GGUCCGGUGGCAGAGUGGCUCAUGCAGCGGAUUGCAAAUCCGUUUACGGGGGUUCAAUUCCCUCCCGGACCU